rnacentral:rRNA from 1 species
UGAGGAAUUUUGCGCAAUGGGCGAAAGCCUGACGCAGCGACGCCGCGUGGAGGACGAAGGUCUCCGGAUCGUAAACUCCUGUCAAGAGGGACGAAUCCCGAACGGAUGAAUAAGCCGGUCGGUUGACGGUACCUCUGGAGGAAGCCCCGGCUAACUCCGUGCCAGCAGCCGCGGUAAUACGGAGGGGGCCAGCGUUGUUCGGAAUUAUUGGGCGUAAAGGGCGCGUAGGCGGCUAGGCAAGUUGGAGGUGAAAGCCCUCGGCUCAACCGAGGAAUUGCCCCCAAAACUGCCUGGCUUGAGUCCCGGAGAGGGUAGUGGAAUUCCCAGUGUAGCGGUGAAAUGCGUAGAUACUGGGAGGAACACCAGUGGCGAAGGCGGCUACCUGGACGGGUACUGACGCUGAGGCGCGAAAGCGUGGGGAGCAAACAGGAUUAGAUACCCCCGUAGUCC